rnacentral:rRNA from 1 species
GAGUUUGAUCAUGGCUCAGGACGAACGCUGGCGGCGUGCCUAAUACAUGCAAGUAGAACGCUGAAGAGAGGAGCUUGCUCUUCUUGGAUGAGUUGCGAACGGGUGAGUAACGCGUAGGUAACCUGCCUUGUAGCGGGGGAUAACUAUUGGAAACGAUAGCUAAUACCGCAUAACAAUAGGUGACACAUGUCAUUUAUUUGAAAGGGGCAAUUGCUCCACUACAAGAUGGACCUGCGUUGUAUUAGCUAGUAGGUGAGGUAACGGCUCACCUAGGCGACGAUACAUAGCCGACCUGAGAGGGUGAUCGGCCACACUGGGACUGAGACACGGCCCAGACUCCUACGGGAGGCAGCAGUAGGGAAUCUUCGGCAAUGGGGGCAACCCUGACCGAGCAACGCCGCGUGAGUGAAGAAGGUUUUCGGAUCGUAAAGCUCUGUUGUAAGUCAAGAACGAGUGUGAGAGUGGAAAGUUCACACUGUGACGGUAGCUUACCAGAAAGGGACGGCUAACUACGUGCCAGCAGCCGCGGUAAUACGUAGGUCCCGAGCGUUGUCCGGAUUUAUUGGGCGUAAAGCGAGCGCAGGCGGUUUGAUAAGUCUGAAGUUAAAGGCUGUGGCUCAACCAUAGUUCGCUUUGGAAACUGUCAAACUUGAGUGCAGAAGGGGAGAGUGGAAUUCCAUGUGUAGCGGUGAAAUGCGUAGAUAUAUGGAGGAACACCGGUGGCGAAAGCGGCUCUCUGGUCUGUAACUGACGCUGAGGCUCGAAAGCGUGGGGAGCGAACAGGAUUAGAUACCCUGGUAGUCCACGCCGUAAACGAUGAGUGCUAGGUGUUGGAUCCUUUCCGGGAUUCAGUGCCGCAGCUAACGCAUUAAGCACUCCGCCUGGGGAGUACGACCGCAAGGUUGAAACUCAAAGGAAUUGACGGGGGCCCGCACAAGCGGUGGAGCAUGUGGUUUAAUUCGAAGCAACGCGAAGAACCUUACCAGGUCUUGACAUCCCGAUGCUAUUUCUAGAGAUAGAAAGUUACUUCGGUACAUCGGUGACAGGUGGUGCAUGGUUGUCGUCAGCUCGUGUCGUGAGAUGUUGGGUUAAGUCCCGCAACGAGCGCAACCCCUAUUGUUAGUUGCCAUCAUUCAGUUGGGCACUCUAGCGAGACUGCCGGUAAUAAACCGGAGGAAGGUGGGGAUGACGUCAAAUCAUCAUGCCCCUUAUGACCUGGGCUACACACGUGCUACAAUGGUUGGUACAACGAGUUGCGAGUCGGUGACGGCAAGCUAAUCUCUUAAAGCCAAUCUCAGUUCGGAUUGUAGGCUGCAACUCGCCUACAUGAAGUCGGAAUCGCUAGUAAUCGCGGAUCAGCACGCCGCGGUGAAUACGUUCCCGGGCCUUGUACACACCGCCCG